UCACAACUGUGAGAUCAUGACCUGAGCUGAAGUCAAGAGUUGGACGCUUAACCAACUGAGCCACCAGGGCACCCUGGGUCAUGCCCUUUUGUCCUGGGCAGCAAAAUUUGAGGAUCAACCCACAGACCAAUGGGAGAAGACAAAUAAAGCUAGCCUAAAAAAGAAAUUAAGGGAUAUAUUUUAAUUAAUCACAAAAAGUCUUAAAUGAGUGAAGGAUCUUGGAAUCACUUGAAUAUGCUCCAUACACGUAAACACAUGUGUGUCUGCACACAAAUUCACUGACCAGUAUGCUCACACACGUCAGCAUCCACACACAAAUAUACAUGUAAACAUCCCUUUAGAUGGGAAUGAACAGUUUCUGGUCUUAGCCGGUUCCUAGGUUUCUGCUGUCUCUUUACCGCAGAGUCCUUGUGGGGAAAGGCUGGGGAUUGUAGGGGUUCCUUUUGACCUGGGCAGUAGUUUCCUUCUGUGAAUUCCCUACCGGACUCACUGGUAGGCCUGCCAGAGCCAUGAGGGGGCUCAUUCAGAGCCUGUUCCGGGCUUCACCCACCCAAGUGGGUUCCCACAUGUGGUUCCUAUUCCCAUGUUUCCUAUGGGUGGAUUUCUGUUGGGCCAGUGGGAGAGAAGGGAGACCAGACCAUCCCCAGCCUGGUCACAGUGCCUGUGGGGCUACCUGGAGGUGCUGUCCGCUUCAGCUGUUUGAUCGGAACCUUCUGCCCCUCCUGGGAGUGGGGAGGAUGGAUGAUGGUACAGGGAAGUGACUCACUGUCUGCAAGGAGUCACAAGUGUACAUGUGUUUGUGUGCAUGCGUGCAUCAGUUGUGUCCCCCUUCCCUUUCCCCAGAAUGAUAGCCAGCACUGAAGCCUUGAUGCAGUGAUGCACUGAAGCCUUGUGGUGGGCCAGACCUAUGUGCUUUGCAAGUAUGAUCUCAUUUAGUCCACUCAACUACCCUGUAAGUUAGAUGCUCAUACUGCCCUUAUUUGACAAAUAAGGAAACUGAGGCAGGGAGAGGUCAUAUGUCAUUACUGGUACGCCACAGGUUUCCCAGUGGCCCGGGAUAGCUUCCUUUCAUUACAGCACAGUAAUCAGUAUGUAGUGUAGAGUCUGUACCAGUCCUGUGCAGUAGGGCUACUGUGGUUAUGGAAAUGUUCUGUGCUGUCCCACGUAGUGGCUAAGAUGUGCUUUUUUUAAGGCUGACUGAUAUUCUAUCGCAUGCAUAUACCACAUUUUCUUUACCCAUUCGCCCUUUGGUGGACAUUUGGACCUUUGGUGGACCCUUCUGUCUUUUCCCCCUUUUCCUCCCAUUUUCUCCCCCGUGUAAUCUGUAACGAAAAUACCCAGACAACUAUUUUCUUUGAUGAGGAGCAGUUUGUGUCUAUUUCACAUUUUAAGAGCAGCAAGAGUUAAGCUUUUAUGCUUUUUCCCCUUGUCACCCCACAAUAUACCAAAUGUGUUUACCCAGAAUGGGUUGUUAGUCUAAUGAAACCACCUAUUGACUUUGAAAUUCCCCGGGCCACUGACUUUCCAUAGAAAAAAGAAAUUCCCCAGGUUUGCCUAGGGGAUGCCCCUGAUUGAGCAGUAGGUUGGACAGGUAUUGUAUUUGAGUAAUGUUUGAGUAUGCGUUACGUAGCGGUGGUUUAGUCAAGUUAAAGGAUCAGUUUUUCUCUCUACGGAAGUGGGGAGGCACGUGGCCCUGUGUGACAUGACCCCUCAGUGCCACUGGGGAGACUCAGGCUCCUCCUGGGUUUCUGUCUUGCCAUCCUUAGAGGUCACUGCCAUCUGCGAGGCUCCAUGUGGCCACCAGAGCUCCAUCCACCGGGCCCAUGGUUUCAGCCGGAGGCAGAGAAGUGUGAAGGGCAAGAAGGGGUGUGAGCCUGCUUCAUUGGCCCCCUUAGUGGGCUUUUUGGAAGUACCAGUAGAGCUCUGUUCACAUCUCGAAAGCGGACUGUGUCACCAUGCGCCCUGCCCCCACCCCAGAGCACGGGAAGUAAAACACCCCCCGAAUACAAUUUGAUUCUGAUAGGAAGACAGAAGGAGGGGAGCCUGGGGCAGCCAGCCAGCAGCUCCACAUUCACCUGGUGGUCUUCACCAUCCACCCUCUCGGGGUUUGGGUGAUGGUUCCAAGAAUUUGGGGCACAAGCCCCUUUCCGAUGGCUUGCCCUUGAUACUUAGAGGCAUCUGGCUGCCUUUCUUUUGCUGCUAGAGCAUGCCAGCUUCCCUUUGUGAGUGCAGGCUCUAACUCCUUCCAAAAAUAGAGGAAAGGGGUGUGUUGUAUCUCUGUCUGGUCUCCGUGUCUUUGUGUGUCUGGUCAUGGAGAAGUGUGGGAUAAAGUUGCUGCCUGUGAGGACUCCUCUGCCUGGGCACAGUGUCCAGAAGGAGAUAAAUCUUGCCAAGUCCAACUCAUGAAAUGAUAGCUUGUCAGCUGCCCGAAUGAGGAAGACAGAUUGAAAGAGUGGUCUGCUCCUGUUGGAGAGCAAAGGCAGUUUGGUCUAUAUUAAGCUUAAAGAGUGAUUUAAAGAGGAUUCUGCCUGGACACGAUGACUUGGGCUGCUUUCUUCUGGAACCUAAAGCAGAUGCUGACCUCUUCAACUUUUUUUUAUGUCCUUCCUGACGAUGGGAUUUGGACCAAAGAUUGGAAAACGGAAGGAGAGCAGCAGUCUGCCUGGAGCCUUGUUACUGGUGAAUUUCAGGCCGGAUGCUUUUUGUGAAGUGGUCCUGUUCUUCUUCUAAGUCUUCUUGACAUGUUUUACCCAGGUGCCUCUCCUGAUUCUCCAGAGCCCUCGAUACAUAUUUCUGUCACUGGCCCUUUCUCCAUUGCCCUGUGGUUGUUUACAGGUUAGUAUCUCCCAUUGGAUGCUAACCUCCUAGGGGAAGAGGCUGUUUGCUAUCCUUCACUGACUGUUGGGCCCCUAUGCAGAUCCUGGCACAGAGUGGGUAUGGUGGCCCUUCGGGUGACAAGGUGUGGGGGAUAACUACUGCGUGAGGGUGAGCUCUGCCCUGCGUGUUGGGACGUGGCCGUCACGUCCUGGAUAUAAAUGGAUACCACUCAUCAGUGUUCCCAAACUUUACUAAUGUGCACGUAAGUCACCUUGUAUCUUGUUAAAAUGCAGGCUUUGAUUUAGGAGAUCUGGAGAGGGGCCUGAGAAUCCACAUGUCUGGAAACUCCCACAGUUCACACUCUGAGUAGCAAGGCCACAGAAGAUAACUCACAUGCCCGAGGAGGAUGAUCAGCAGUAACAUAGAUCCUCAGUGGUUUUUGGAGAAAAAUAAUAGAGAUGAGCCUUGGCAGUAGUGCCCUGGGCACCGAGGACAGAAGAUGCCGACUAGAGGGAGCCUGGUCAUUUUGAGGGGUAGAAGGAGAUGAAUAUUUUGGGGGAAAGGAGUGCUCUCAAAAAGCUCAGAUUGUGCAAGGGUCUACCAAAAAUAAAGUGGGGAGAAUCAAUUCUAUAAGUACUGUUCACUGCACAAUUAGCCUAGACUAUACCUGGCUGAUUGUGAAAAAUACAGAAACAAAACAGUUCUCAGACCUGUGUUCUGAACAAGAAAAACUAGGGUAAGAUGGAUAGACACACACUGGUUGGGGUUGGAGAAGGAUGAAAGGGAAGCAAUGAACAUGAGGGAGUGGUCAUAUCAGGCCAACCUGAAACUCUUUCCUUUUCUUUUUUCCUAAAGAGAUUAUUUAGUUUUAAUUUAUUUUUCAAGUUUAUUUAUUUUGGUGAGGCGAGGGGCAGAGAAAGAGGG